GACGAACGCUGGCGGCGUGCUUAACACAUGCAAGUCGAACGGUGAAGGUGGAGCUUGCUCCGCCGGAUCAGUGGCGAACGGGUGAGUAACACGUGGGCAACCUGCCCCAGACUUCGGGAUAACUCCUCGAAAGAGGUGCUAAUACCGGAUACGAACUCCUUGGGCAUCCUUGGAGUUGGAAAGUUUUUCGGUCUGGGAUGGGCCCGCGGCCUAUCAGCUUGUUGGUGAGGUAACGGCUCACCAAGGCGACGACGGGUAGCCGGCCUGAGAGGGCGAGCGGCCACAGUGGGACUGAGACACGGCCCAGACGCCUACGGGAGGCAGCAGUGGGGAAUAUUGCGCAAUGGGCGAAAGCCUGACGCAGCAACGCCGCGUGAGGGAUGACGGCCUUCGGGUUGUAAACCUCUUUCAGCAGGGAAGAAGCGAAAGUGACGGUACCUGCAGAAGAAGCACCGGCUAACUACGUGCCAGCAGCCGCCGUAAGAC
rnacentral:rRNA from 1 species